rnacentral:piRNA from 1 species
UGAGAAUACCCAGGAGUGAGGCAUCUCGC